GAUGAAGAACGCAGCGAAAUGCGAUAAUUAAUGUGAAUUGCAGAAUUCCGUGAAUCAUCGAGCCUUUGAACGCACAUUGCGCCUCAUGGCAUUCCGUGAGGCAUGCCCAUCUCAGCGUUAGAAAAUAUUCUCAAAUUUUAGUUUUGUGCUAAAAUUUGGAUCAUGUCAAGGAAGCUAUUACUAUUAUUGUGAUCGCUCUUUGGAAAUUGAUAGGUCUUUGAGUUGCUACUCAUAGAACGUGAUGAAUCUUUCUUCGUUCUAUUGUAAUUCACUCUGGUAGUCCUAAAACUUGUAUGCCUGUGGCAUAUCUUGUAAUUUGACCUGAGAUUGGGUAGGGAUACCCGCUAAACUUAAGCAUAUCAAUAAGCGGAGGA
rnacentral:misc_RNA from 1 species